rnacentral:rRNA from 1 species
UACGUAGGUGGCGAGCGUUGUCCGGAUUUACUGGGCGUAAAGAGCGCGCAGGCGGUCGUACAAGUCGCGUGUGAAAGCCCCUGGCUCAACUGGGGAGGGUCACGCGAUACUGUUCGACUCGAAGGCAGGAGAGGGAAGUGGAAUUCCCGGUGUAGUGGUGAAAUGCGUAGAUAUCGGGAGGAACACCAGUGGCGAAGGCGACUUCCUGGCCUGUUCUUGACGCUGAGGCGCGAAAGCUAGGGUAGCAAACGGGG